AGCUUUGUGCAGUGGUAGUAUUGUAGUCAAUGAGUUUUAUCUGAGGUGCAAUUUUAUUGCUAUUUGGAAAAAUAAAGAUCUGCUCUGUACACGUUGCUAUAAAUCUUUGAUAGAGACAAACCAUUGCUAUAUAUAUAUAUAC
ensembl:snRNA U4 U4 spliceosomal RNA